rnacentral:rRNA from 1 species
ACAGCAGCCGCGGGAAUACAGAGGGUGCGAGCGUUAAUCGGAUUUACUGGGCGUAAAGCGUGCGUAGGCGGCUUCUUAAGUCGGAUGUGAAAUCCCUGAGCUUAACUUAGGAAUUGCAUUCGAUACUGGGAAGCUAGAGUAUGGGAGAGGAUGGUAGAAUUCCAGGUGUAGCGGUGAAAUGCGUAGAGAUCUGGAGGAAUACCGAUGGCGAAGGCAGCCAUCUGGCCUAAUACUGACGCUGAGGUACGAAAGCAUGGGGAGCAAACAGGAUUAGAUACCCGCGUAGUCCCUGUCUCUUAUACACA